rnacentral:lncRNA from 1 species
UGUGGGCCUGGAGCUAGGGUGGUGGUUGUGGCUGGAGCUUAGAGCCACAUCCAGUGAGGGUCACAGAGCUCCUCAGAGAAGUGCUGGGAGUGAGACUCCAACCCACCCCAGCACUGAGGUGGGGUUGAGGGAUGUGGCUGAAUGAUCAAGGGGAUGGCCAUAGACUCUAUCCAGGAAGAGAAAUCCCAAGGGCAGGCAGGUUAACCUGUCCCCACAAACUCAUGGCCAGGCCCUGGUGUUCCCAACCCUGACUGAUGAGAACCGACAGCUAUACCCUUUUGGUUGGCAUUUCUGAGAAUUGCGUGGACAAUUCUCUUCUCUUUUCUUACUGAAGGAAGGACAGAUAUAGAGGUGGUUCCAACUCUGGUGCUGGUAUAUUUGUGACAAUCACUGGGAUCAUAUUACCAGAGUAAGUUUGACCAAUUUGGAGAAUUGGCCUUGGAGAGGUCAACACUUAAGAGAAAGGCCAAGGUCAUGGCCUGGCUCAAAUGGAUCCCAUUUCUUGCACAUGAGUUACACUGACUCAGUUAUUGGAGAGCCCACUUGUGCUUGG